rnacentral:rRNA from 1 species
ACAUGCAAGUCGAACGGAGUAUUCAGCAAUGAAUACUUAGUGGCGAACGGGUGAGUAACGCGUAGACAAUCUGCCUUCUAGAUGGGGACAACACCGCGAAAGUGGUGCUAAUACCGAAUGUGAUACGGAGAAUGCAUGUUCUCUGUAAGAAAGGUGGCCUCUAUUUAUAAGCUACCGCUAGAAGAUGAGCCUGCGUCUGAUUAGCUAGUUGGUGAGGUAAUAGCUCACCAAGGCGACGAUCAGUAGCCGGUCUGAGAGGAUGAACGGCCACACUGGGACUGAGACACGGCCCAGACUCCUACGGGAGGCAGCAGUGGGGAAUCUUCCGCAAUGGACGAAAGUCUGACGGAGCAACGCCGCGUGAGUGAAGAAGGUUUUCGGAUUGUAAAGCUCUGUCUUCAGGGGCGAACGUGUUGUAGGUGAAUAAUCUAUGAUAAUGACGGUACCUGAGGAGGAAGCCACGGCUAACUACGUG